GGAGAGGAGAGAGCGAGCGAGAGAGAGAGAGAGAGGGGGAAGUAGGAUUUCAUUUUUCGUUGCAACCUCUGGUUUGAUUCAUCUAUCUUUAUAACACAUUGAUCAAUAUGGAAAGAAUAUUCGUUUCAGUGAGGGCGAGGCCUCUUUCUCCCGAUGAUGCAAAAACGAGUCCCUGGAGGAUCUCCGGAAAUUCAAUCUCAAUCGCAAACCAGCCUACAAAAUUCGAAUUCGAUCGUAUUUUCGGAGAAGACAGUAAAACUGUUGAAGUCUACGAAGCUCGUACCAAAGAGAUCGUUGCUGCGGCUCUUCGUGGGUUCAACGGCACUGUUUUUGCAUAUGGACAAACAAAUAGUGGAAAAACACAUACUAUGCGAGGGACAGCUGCUGAACCAGGGGUUAUACCUCUUGCAGUGCAUGAUUUGUUUCGAAUUAUACAAGAGGAUAUGGAUCGAGAAUUUCUUCUACGCAUGUCCUACAUGGAGAUCUAUAAUGAAGAAAUAAAUGACUUAUUAGCUCCUGAGCAUCGGAAAUUGCAGGUUCAUGAGAGUCUUGAGAGAGGGAUAUUUGUUGCUGGUUUGAGAGAAGAGAUUGUUGCAUCCCCAGAGCAAGUCCUUGAUUUCAUGGAAUUUGGAGAAUCUCAUCGUCACAUUGGGGAGACAAAUAUGAAUGUUUAUAGCAGUAGGUCACAUACAAUUUUCCGAAUGAUAAUUGAAAGUCGUGAUAAAUCUGAAGAUGGAGAUAUUGGAAGUUCCUGUGAUGCUGUCCGUGUAUCUGUUCUGAAUUUGGUGGACCUGGCUGGUUCAGAACGUGCUGCAAAGACUGGUGCAGAAGGUGUGCGUCUGAAAGAGGGUUCACACAUCAAUAAAAGCUUGAUGACACUUGGAACUGUAAUAAAGAAACUGAGUGAAGGUGCUGAGAGCCAAGGGGGUCAUGUUCCCUAUCGGGAUAGCAAACUCACACGCAUUUUGCAACCAGCAUUGGGUGGGAAUGCAAAUACUGCUAUAAUAUGCAAUAUUACUUUUGCACAGAUUCAUGUGGAUGAGACAAAAUGCAGUCUCCAAUUUGCCAGUAGAGCAUUACGCGUAACAAACUGUGCACGCGUUAAUGAGAUUCUCACUGAUGCUGCUCUGUUAAAACGUCAAAAAAAGGAGAUUGAGGAGCUUCGGGCAAAAUUGCAGGGCUCUAAUUCAGAACAUUUUGAGGAGGAGAUACUUAAUCUGCGAAACACCUUAUUGAAGAGUGAAUUAGAGAGGGAGAGGAUUACCUUGGAGUUGCAAGAGGAAAAGAAAGCUCAAGCCCAACGUGAGAGGACAUUGCAAGAGCAAGCCAAGAAAAUAGCGAAUUUAAGCUCAAUGGUGUUGUAUUCAAAUAGGGAUGAGAAAUUGAGUCACUACAAAAAGGAUAAGAGGCGGGAUACAUGGUGCCCCGGUGUUCUUUCAAGGGAGGCUCUUAGAGAGGUGUCAUCCUUGGAUGGAUCAAAAGUUUCUAUUGAAGACCCCAUUAGACCUGAGCGAAAUAUGGAGAUGCCUCUUCCAUUUGAAGAAUUAGUGAAACAAAAGGAAGGCAACAUGGAUGAUACUUUCCAAGAAGCAUGCAAAGCAGACAAAAAUUUCAGUAAUGAUUCAUUCAAUGAUUGUAUACUUCCUGAUGCGCGUACCUUGUUGAAUGUAACUAACAGAAGAAAAGCACCACACAAGAAGAAGAGCUCACUUGUGGAAAGCAGUGAAUUAGUAGAAAUGCAGGUGGAAUAUGAGGAUUUGCUAUUGGAAUUUGAAACUCAGAGGACAGUGAAGGACAUAGAAAUUGAGUGCUUAACAAAAAGGUUGGCUGCAGCAGAAUGUUACUCAAAUGGAAUAUGCACUGAUUCUUCCUUUUGUCACAUAUCUCGUGGUGAUAGAAAAUUAAGUUUGAGAGAGUCAGAAGCUAUUCUUGUGAUAAAGAAACUCCAGGAACAGAUUAAAAAUUUGGAGAUGGACAAAGCGGCAAUUCAGAAAAAUCUGGACAAUGUUGUUGAGUUGGCAACAGAGCAGAACAUAUCAGCAGUAGAGAAAUAUGAUAAGCUGUAUCAAGAGCUUGUCAAUACACGUGGACAGACAAGUUUGGUUUGUGAGGAAGUGUGUGGAGGAAAAGUUGAGGAGGAUUAUGGUAACUCCUCAAAUGGGAUGUCAAUGGAAGUCCAAGAAAUACUACUUGAAGUUCAUAAGUCGAAAAGUACUUUUGAUAGUAUUUCUUUACUGAUAGAUGAUCUAUUCAAAAGCUUUUCUGCUGCAUCAAAAGAGUUGCAGGAUUUGAGGUCAUUGAUGUGCCAAAAUUCCAUGUAUCUAAAAUCCAUCAGCUGUGACCAUGAGAAGAUAUACAGUUGCAUGAGGAAGAAAAUUGUUGAACUUGAGAACGAAAAGUAUAUUUUGUCCAAUCAAGCGCUUGAUCUCCAUAAGCAAAUAGAGGAACUUAGAUUGGAUCUUCAAAAUUCUGAAAAGGCUUUGAGUGAGCACUGCAAGCAACAAGAUUUGGAGAAAGGUGAAUUGCUUUCUCAAAUUCAAAUUCUUGAGAAAGAAAUAUCAGGCUUGUCAUCUUGUUCAUUGGCAAGGGAGAAAGAAAAUUUGAGAAAAGAGUUGGAGAAAACAAAAACAAAGUUGAAAGAGACCGAGUUCAAGCUUAAGAAUGCUAUCCAAGACAAAACCAAACUUGAGGGUGAAAAAGCAUAUGCUGAACGAGAGAUAAAGCACUUGCAUGGUCAAAAGAUUCUUCUUGAGCGUGAUAUCAGCAAACGUGACUCACUUGCUGGAAGGAGGCGUGAAUCAAAGGCAUUUGACUCAAAUAAGGGAAGGGCUCAUAAUAUUUCCUAUGAGCAGACACUACAGGAUGAAUACAAGAAACUAGAAGUUCUGGCAUUUGAGAUGGAGACAACAAUUGCUUCUUUGGAAGAGGAUUUGGCAGUUGCAAAUGGAGAAAAGGAGGAAGCCCUUGUUAGAAAUGAAAUUUUAGCUUCAGAAUUGGAAGCUACUUCCAACAAAUUGAACACAUCAGACACAGAAUUAAAAAUGUUGGAGGAGGAGAUUUCAAGCAUGAGACUGAGAUUGGAUGAAUGUGAGUCCCUUUCUCAGAGAAUGGAAAGUUCUAUCAAGUUGUUAUCAGAAGAAAAAGAAGAGUUGGCAAUGCAACUUACUGAUGCCCUUUUGGAACUGGAGGAGGAAAAAGUAAUAUGGUCAGCUAAGGAGAAAACUUCUAUUGAAAGUAUUGCAGAGAAAGCCAAGUUAUCCAAUACCGAGAAACUGUUGUUUUCAAAAGAAUUGUCAGAGGUAAGUAAAGAAUUAGAGGCUUCUCGAGAGGAGUGCAAGUGCUUAAGGAAAAAAUUGAUUCUUUUGGAGGAAAAUCUAGAACAGGAGACCAAAUGCAGCAUGGAGAAGUCUUCAGAGAUUGAUCAGCUAAGAAAUGAUCUGAAAAUAUUUGAAAUUGAGAGUAAAAGAUGCCAAGAUGAUCUUAAAAACCAGAUUUUCAGUAUGAUGAAAGAAAGAGAUAAAUUGUUGGCUCAAGAUGAGCAGCAGCAGGCCCUUAAAAUUGAGAUGGAAACCUUGAAGAAAAAUUAUGAUGACAUGUUAUUUCAGGCCAGAGUUGACAUGGAGGAACUCUCUAAGAGAUAUUCUACCUUGGAAACUAGGUUUCAGAAUGAGAAUGCAAACAACAUUAUGAAUGCAAAACUUAGAAUGAGGCUCCGCAACACACAAGCAAAGCUAGAUGCAUUUCGUGGAAGAUACAAGGAGUCAGUAGAUGAGAUGAUUUUCAUGGACAAGAAAUUCCAUGAGGCAUCUGAGAAACUGAAAGAACAGUUGGGAUCGUAUGGUCGUGAGGUCUUGGAGCUCAAGAAGCAACUUUCUGCAGUAAAGCAUCAAUGUUGAUAAGAGACGAUAUUAUUCCUACAAAAUUGGAAGGAUCUACCUAUGGAAUUGACACUACUAUUGUAGCACAUGGGAGUAAGAAAUCUACUACUGGUGGUGAUUCUUUUGUUAAAGGUGAUUCUCUAGCAUCUAUGGUUGAGGAAAACAUUCAACAAUUGGUAACAUUUGUUACUUUUGCUCUUUCUGCUAUUGGCUUACCUGGACCAAAACACUGGAAGGUGAAAGGGAAGGGGCGCAGGUUGGGCUGUCUGUUUGCAUUGGAGUUCGAGAAGUCUCAAACAGCAGCAUCAUUAACUUAUUUUGGUUCCUCCACUUCUAGUUCUUUUAUGAGUCAUAGAAAUAAUGUUUGGGCCAUUUAUAUGCUAAAAAUUAAAUUUUUUGUUUGAUACAUUUGAUACAUCUUGUGUUUCUUGUUGCUUAAGUAAAAGUCGUACCUUACCAUUUCCUCACAUAUCUGAGCAUGCUACCUCCCCCUUCGAGCUUAUACAUUGUGAUGUCUGGAUUGCAUCUAUCACUUCUCGGCUUGGAUACAAAUAUUUGGUGUCGUUCAUUGAUGAUUGUACCUGGUACACAUGGAUAUACUUUCUUUGCCACAAGUCUGAGGUGUUCUUAAC